AAAUUGCGGAUCCUUAUGUUGUAAAAAACGAAGGACGACUGGGUCAGGUCUAUCCCCUAUCAGUUUUCGUAGGAAGUGUAUUGUACUUUCUAGACUAUGACGGGUAACGAAAAAUAAGGGUUUGAUUUCGGAGAAGGAGCCUGAGAGACGGCUACUACAUCUAAGGAAGGCAGCAGGCGCGCAAAUUUCCCAUUGCUUAUCAUAUAAUGUAAGCGAGGAAGUGACGAUCAAUAACAAUGUGUGACUCUUUAUGGGUUAUGCAAUUGGAAUGACUACAAUUUAAAGAGUUUAAGAAGGAUCAAUUGGAGGGCAAGUCUGGUGCCGGCAGCCGCGGUAAUUCCAGCUCCAAUAGGAUAUAUCAAAGUUGUUGCAGUUAAAAAGCUCGUAGUUGAAUUUCUGGAGGGUAGAAGUGUUUUUUUUAGAGAAGCAAUUUUUUAUGAAAGACACCGCUUUCCAUUUUGUGGAUUUCUGUUUUGUAUAAAGAUAGUUUACUCUAUUUUUGUAUAAAAUACCACUCCGUCACUGAGAGCAAAUUGGAGUGCUCAAAGCAGGCUUUAUUAGCUUUGAACAUUUUAGCUUGGAAUGACAAGAUAUGACUUUUGUUUUAUUUUGUUGGUUAUGAAAUAAAAGUAAUGAUUAACAGGAACAGUUGCGGGGGUACUCGUAUUGAAAGGUCAGAGGUGAAACUCUUGGAUUCUUUCAAGACGAACGACUGCGAAAGCAUUUACCAAGGAUGUUUUCAUUAAUCAAGAACGAAAGCUCGGGGAUCGAAGAUGAUUAGAUACCAUCGUAGUCCGACGCCAUAAACGAUGCCGACUCGGGAUUAUUUUGUUAGUUUAAAUUAAAAAAGAACACAAAGUAGCACCGUAUGAGAAAUCAAAGUCUUUGGGUUCCGGGGGGAGUAUGGUCGCAAGGCUGAAACUUAAAGGAAUUGACGGAAGGGCACACCAGAGGUGGAGCCUGCGGUUUAAUUUGACACAACACGGGGAAACUUACCAGGUCCAGACAUGAUGAGGAUUGACAGUUUGAAAGCACUUUCUUGAUUUCAUGGGUGGUGGUGCAUGGCCGUUCUUAGUUGGUGGAGUGAUUUGUCUGGUUGAUUCCGAUAACGAACGAGACGGGGUGAAUUUACUAGUUUGUUAUAUAAUUUACGUUAUAUAAGACUUCUUUAUUCGACAACUUGGUUUUACCAAGAGGAAGCGCCCCGCAAUAACAGGUCUGUGAUGCCCUUAGAUGUUCUGGGCUACACGCGCGCUACAAUGACGAAUUCAACGAGUUAAAAAUUUAUUCCUUAUCCGGAAGGAUGUGGGUAAUCUUUUCAAUAUUCGUCGUGAUGGGGCUAGAUUUUUGCAAUUAUUAAUCUUCAACGAGGAAUCUCUAGUAUGUGCAAGUCAUCAGCUUGCGCAGAAUGCGUCCCUGCCCUUUGUACACACCGCCCGUCGCACCUACCGAUUGGACGAUCCGGCAAGAUGUUUGGAGUUGUUUUGAUUGUAGAGUAAUUUAUGAUGAAAAUGACAAAGCUCUUCAAACCUUAUCGUCUAGAGGAAGGUGAAGUCGUAACAAGGUCUCCGUAGGUGAACCUGCGGAGG
rnacentral:rRNA from 1 species